UACGAAGGGGGCUAGCGUUGUUCGGAAUUACUGGGCGUAAAGCGCGUGUAGGCGGGUCUUUAAGUCAGGAGUGAAAUGCCAAGGCUCAACCUUGGAACUGCCUUUGAUACUGGAGAUCUUGAGUCCGGGAGAGGUGAGUGGAAUUGCGAGUGUAGAGGUGAAAUUCGUAGAUAUUCGCAAGAACACCAGUGGCGAAGGCGGCUCACUGGCCCGGAACUGACGCUGAGACGCGAAAGCGUGGGGAGCAAACAGG
rnacentral:rRNA from 1 species